GCGAUACAGGGUGACAGCCCCGUACACAAAAAUGCACAUACUGUGAGCUCGAUGAGUAGGGCGGGACACGUGGUAUCCUGUCUGAAUAUGGGGGGACCAUCCUCCAAGGCUAAAUACUCCUGACUGACCGAUAGUGAACCAGUACCGUGAGGGAAAGGCGAAAAGAACCCCGGCGAGGGGAGUGAAAAAGAACCUGAAACCGUGUACGUACAAGCAGUGGGAGCCUCUUAAUGGGGUGACUGCGUACCUUUUGUAUAAUGGGUCAGCGACUUAUAUUCUGUAGCAAGGUUAACCGAAUAGGGGAGCCGAAGGGAAACCGAGUCUUAACUGGGCGUUAAGUUGCAGGGUAUAGACCCGAAACCCGGUGAUCUAGCCAUGGGCAGGUUGAAGGUUGGGUAACACUAACUGGAGGACCGAACCGACUAAUGUUGAAAAAUUAGCGGAUGACUUGUGGCUGGGGGUGAAAGGCCAAUCAAACCGGGAGAUAGCUGGUUCUCCCCGAAAGCUAUUUAGGUAGCGCCUCGUGAAUUCAUCUCCGGGGGUAGAGCACUGUUUCGGCAAGGGGGUCAUCCCGACUUACCAACCCGAUGCAAACUGCGAAUACCGGAGAAUGUUAUCACGGGAGACACACGGCGGGUGCUAACGUCCGUCGUGAAGAGGGAAACAACCCAGACCGCCAGCUAAGGUCCCAAAGUCAUGGUUAAGUGGGAAACGAUGUGGGAAGGCCCAGACAGCCAGGAUGUUGGCUUAGAAGCAGCCAUCAUUUAAAGAAAGCGUAAUAGCUCACUGGUCGAGUCGGCCUGCGCGGAAGAUGUAACGGGGCUAAACCAUGCACCGAAGCUGCGGCAGCGACACUAUGUGUUGUUGGGUAGGGGAGCGUUCUGUAAGCCUGUGAAGGUGUACUGUGAGGUAUGCUGGAGGUAUCAGAAGUGCGAAUGCUGACAUAAGUAACGAUAAAGCGGGUGAAAAGCCCGCUCGCCGGAAGACCAAGGGUUCCUGUCCAACGUUAAUCGGGGCAGGGUGAGUCGACCCCUAAGGCGAGGCCGAAAGGCGUAGUCGAUGGGAAACAGGUUAAUAUUCCUGUACUUGGUGUUACUGCGAAGGGGGGACGGAGAAGGCUAUGUUGGCCGGGCGACGGUUGUCCCGGUUUAAGCGUGUAGGCUGGUUUUCCAGGCAAAUCCGGAAAACCAAGGCUGAGGCGUGAUGACGAGGCACUACGGUGCUGAAGCGACAAAUGCCCUGCUUCCAGGAAAAGCCUCUAAGCAUCAGGUAACAUUAAAUCGUACCCCAAACCGACACAGGUGGUCAGGUAGAGAAUACCAAGGCGCUUGAGAGAACUCGGGUGAAGGAACUAGGCAAAAUGGUGCCGUAACUUCGGGAGAAGGCACGCUGAUAUGUAGGUGAAGCGACUUGCUCGUGGAGCUGAAAUCAGUCGAAGAUACCAGCUGGCUGCAACUGUUUAUUAAAAACACAGCACUGUGCAAACACGAAAGUGGACGUAUACGGUGUGACGCCUGCCCGGUGCCGGAAGGUUAAUUGAUGGGGUUAGCGGUAACGCGAAGCUCUUGAUCGAAGCCCCGGUAAACGGCGGCCGUAACUAUAACGGUCCUAAGGUAGCGAAAUUCCUUGUCGGGUAAGUUCCGACCUGCACGAAUGGCGUAAUGAUGGCCAGGCUGUCUCCACCCGAGACUCAGUGAAAUUGAACUCGCUGUGAAGAUGCAGUGUACCCGCGGCAAGACGGAAAGACCCCGUGAACCUUUACUAUAGCUUGACACUGAACAUUGAGCCUUGAUGUGUAGGAUAGGUGGGAGGCUUUGAAGUGUGGACGCCAGUCUGCAUGGAGCCGACCUUGAAAUACCACCCUUUAAUGUUUGAUGUUCUAACGUGGGCCCCUUACCGGGGUUGCGGACAGUGUCUGGUGGGUAGUUUGACUGGGGCGGUCUCCUCCUAAAGAGUAACGGAGGAGCACGAAGGUUGGCUAAUCCUGGUCGGACAUCAGGAGGUUAGUGCAAUGGCAUAAGCCAGCUUGACUGCGAGCGUGACGGCGCGAGCAGGUGCGAAAGCAGGUCAUAGUGAUCCGGUGGUUCUGAAUGGAAGGGCCAUCGCUCAACGGAUAAAAGGUACUCCGGGGAUAACAGGCUGAUACCGCCCAAGAGUUCAUAUCGACGGCGGUGUUUGGCACCUCGAUGUCGGCUCAUCACAUCCUGGGGCUGAAGUAGGUCCCAAGGGUAUGGCUGUUCGCCAUUUAAAGUGGUACGCGAGCUGGGUUUAGAACGUCGUGAGACAGUUCGGUCCCUAUCUGCCGUGGGCGCUGGAGAACUGAGGGGGGCUGCUCCUAGUACGAGAGGACCGGAGUGGACGCAUCACUGGUGUUCGGGUUGUCAUGCCAAUGGCACUGCCCGGUAGCUAAAUGCGGAAGAGAUAAGUGCUGAAAGCAUCUAAGCACGAAACUUGCCCCGAGAUGAGUUCUCCCUGACUCCUUGAGAGUCCUGAAGGAACGUUGAAGACGACGACGUUGAUAGGCCGGGUGUGUAAGCGCAGCGAUGCGUUGAGCUAACCGGUACUAAUGAACCGUGAGGCUUAACCUU
rnacentral:rRNA from 1 species